AUUGAACGCUGGCGGCAGGCCUAACACAUGCAAGUCGAGCGGAGCGGCGGACGGGUGAGUAAUACCUGGGAAUCUGCCUGGUAGUGGGGGAUAACGUCCGGAAACGGGCGCUAAUACCGCAUACCAUAGGAUGAGCCCAAGUGGGAUUAGGUAGUUGGUGAGGUAAAGGCUCACCAAGCCGACGAUCUCGAGCUGGUCUGAGCGGAUGACCAGCCAAACUGGGACUGAGACACGGCCCAGACUCCUACGGGAGGCAGCAGUGGUGAAUAUUGCGCAAUGGGGGCAACCCUGACGGAGCCAUGCCUCGUGAAUGAAGAAGGCCUUCGGGUUGUAAAGUUCUAUCGGUAGCGAGGCGUUAACUACAGAAGAGGCACCGGCUAACUCCGUGCCAGCAGCCGCGGUAAUUC
rnacentral:rRNA from 1 species